CGAUGCUAGACUAGAGCUCUGAGCCCACUCUCCGUAGCGGUCAAGGUGCUUGCUCGAACUCUCCUUUCACAGGUCUAAAUAGCAUUUCCCCCCUUGAAUUAGAAGAAUCCGUGGGAUUCGCAGCGUUGGUCCAGCUCCCAGCCAAGCAGCCUCCGCCGGGCACAUUAGAACAGGGCAGAAGCAUCCAGCAAGGGGAGAAGGCUGUAGUUAGCUUGGAGACCACACCCAGCCAGAAAGCAGACUGGAGUUCAAUUCCAAAGCCUGAGAAUGAAGGCAAGUUAAUAAAGCAAGCAGCUGAGGUGAGGAGUUUGAGGUGGGCAGCAUUACUUCCAUCUUUAGCAAUCGGGCCGUGGUGAAAUACAGUCGUCUGGAGGAUGUGCUGCAUGGCUGCUCCUGGAAGGUCAAUAACAAGCUAGAUGGGACGUACCUGCCCUUGCCGGUGGACAAGAUCAUCCAGCGUACAAAAAAGAUGGUCAACAAGAUCGUGCAGUACAGCCUGAUUGAAGGGAACUGUGAGCACUUUGUC
rnacentral:lncRNA from 1 species